GGCUAGCGUUGUCCGGAAUCAUUGGGCGUACAGCGCGUGUAGGCGGUCCGGUAAGUCCGCUGUGAAAGUCGGGGGCUCAACCCUCGGAUGCCGGUGGAUACUGUCGGGCUUGAGUACGGAAGAGGCGAGUGGAAUUCCUGGUGUAGCGGUGAAAUGCGCAGAUAUCAGGAGGAACACCAAUUGCGAAGGCAGCUCGCUGGGACGUUACUGACGCUGAGACGCGAAAGCGUGGGGAGCAAACAGG
rnacentral:rRNA from 1 species